GACGAACGCUGGCGGCGUGCUUAACACAUGCAAGUCGAACGGAAAGGCCCUGCUUGCCGGGUACUCGAGUGGCGAACGGGUGAGUAACACGUGGGUGAUCUGCCCUGCACUUCGGGAUAAGCUUGGGAAACUGGGUCUAAUACCGGAUAGGAACCAUCUUUAGUGUGGUGGUUGGAAAGUUUUUUCGGUGUAGGAUGAGCUCGCGGCCUAUCAGCUUGUUGGUGGGGUAAUGGCCUACCAAGGCGGCGACGGGUAGCCGGCCUGAGAGGGUGUACGGCCACAUUGGGACUGAGAUACGGCCCAGACUCCUACGGGAGGCAGCAGUGGGGAAUAUUGCACAAUGGGCGCAAGCCUGAUGCAGCGACGCCGCGUGGGGGAGGAAGGCCUUCGGGUUGUAAACUCCUUUCGCUAGGGACGAAGCUUUUUGUGACGGUACCUAGAGAAGAAGCACCGGCUAACUACGUG
rnacentral:rRNA from 1 species